rnacentral:rRNA from 1 species
GACGUAGGGGGCGAGCGUUGUCCGGAUUUAUUGGGCGUAAAGCGUGCGUAGGCGGCUGCGCAAGUCGGUUGUGAAACCCCGGGGCUCAACCCCGGAACUGCAUCCGAUACUGCGUGGCUAGGGGCAGGUAGGGGAGAUCGGAAUUCCUGGUGUAGCGGUGAAAUGCGCAGAUAUCAGGAGGAACACCGGUGGCGAAGGCGGAUCUCUGGGCCUUACCUGACGCUCAGGCACGAAAGCUAGGGGAGCGAACAGG